GAGAGAGAGAGAGAGAGAGAGAGAGAGAGAGAGAGAGAGAGAGAGAGAGAGUAUCCCCUCUCCUUCGUUCCCGUAAAGAAAAGUUGAAUUUUAUUUAAAUGCAUUUCUGUCACCUAUCUUUGUCUUUGCUGGUUCAAAGAUAAAUUGCUUGUUUGUGUUUUAAAUUGCUUUUUUUAUACUCUGCAGAUGCAUUUUUACUCAUGCAAGCCUGUUUUGGCGGCUGCAUUAUGAUGGAUGGAUGUGUCCACUGUCUCAAAUGGUUGUACAGAUUUGUAUAUAAAAUAUAUUUGUAUCACUUUUA